AGAGCUGAAAGGUUGAAACUGAAGACGGAAAAUUACACAGGUUGGUUGAUUGGCAAAAGCAUCUAAGCCCAAUUUGAUUUGGUGGAGGCAGGGCCGAACAUUUUGUAAACUUUUUGCCUACGAUAUGGUUUCCGACGGCCUUCAAUAACGUAAGUCUUCUUCUCCCCAUCUCCUUAUCUAAAAGUCAUGUAAGCAUAAUUCAAUUUUGUAGUUGUAAUGGAAAGACUCUUCAAAUUUGAAGUCCGAAUUUCUACGUGGAAAUGGAAUGGAAAGAAACUUGAUGAUUCCAUCGAACAACAACCUGCUGUGCUGUAGAAGUGGUUCUUUGUGUGUUUCUCGCUGCGGGGGACUCAUGUUGCUGGAAAAGCUUUGAUCUUUUAUCCAGUAAAUGUGCUAUACGCUUACAAGAUUAGCAACAGGAAGCAUAUGUGGUCAGCCUAAUUUUAACAUCUGGCCAAUUGGCUGUCAUUACACUUUUUUUGUUUAGAGAUAUAUAUGACCUCAGUUAUUCUUCUUCUCUAGAUUAUUCAAUGUCAAUUUUGGGAGACUUGUUUCCAAUAAUUUAUUUGCUUUUACUUUUCCAUCUGA